UUUCUUUUACUUUAUUUUGUUAGAACGUAAACAUUUGGAGGCGUUUUGGAUUGUGAUUAUAACGUGAAAUAUAUGAAUGCUUGUCAUGUAAUUUUAAGGUUGUAUAAUGUAAUAAGUUCUGCUCAUUUUGUUUUGCCUUACUGGUUGUGUUUUGAAAUAGUUUGAAAAAACAUAUGAAAAAAUAUCAUUUAAAACCCAGAGGAGAGGAUGAACAGAGUAAACAGAAACAGAUGAUGUAGAUUCAUAGUGCGAUAGAUCAGGGUGAGCUUUUAAACUCCUCCUAAAAACAUCGCAUAGGGCAUGUUUAAAACGUUAUUGCGCUCCCUACCUAGAUAUCACAUCUGGGUGGCGCACGCGCGAGCCUUGAGAUCCAAAAAUGCUGUCUAGACAGCGAAUCACUAGGUUUUGAACACAACCACAGUGUCCGGAAAUUAACAAACUCGUGAUGUCAGGAGGACUGGGAGAGGGUCAGCACAAGUGAAAUCCACGUCUAUUUUACAGACAUGUCUGUUUUGGGAAUCGUCAGAUGGAGGCAUGUUAUCACCCUGAUUGUUAUUUUACCCACCCCUGGGCACCAUGAUGUCUUUUGCUGAGUUGACACUACAGUUUGUUGUCAUAUGUUGUAAUUAUUGAAAUCACACAUGGAAGAUGUAUCACACCUAUAAUUUGUAUUAGUUAUUAAUAAGGUACGCAGGAAAUGUACAGUAUUAUAUAAUAUAACAUGCAUGCUGAUGCAUUGGGCUGCUUAGACGUGAUUGACAUGUUAAAUGCUUGAGGAUUGCUCUUUAUCCUUUGCUUUUGUGCUAUUAAAGGGCAUUUAACUUUGUAAAACGCAAUUAAGUGUUACUCUGUACUUCUGCUCUUCAGAUACUCAGAUCUGUUUCUGGCUCAUUUAAAUGAGAAUGAAUUGUUAAAAAAAGUAAGGUAAAGUGAAACAUUUCUGUUAUCACUUCCCUGAUAUUGAUGGUUACAAGUAAACACAUUUUUUAUGGUUGUGUGGUCAGAGAGGGGAUUUCGGACGUUCAUAACAUCUGAAAUGUGAAGUCACUAGACCUUUGGAGCCCCACCCACUGCAUUCCUACAGGGCUAAGCUGCAGCAACAUUCACAGCGCUGCUUUAAAUUGAAUUGAACUAAAUUCUAUUAUGCAGUGAAUUACAGUGACCAGCUUUAAACUCAACACACUGGAAUGACUCAUGUUGGCUUGAAUUGGCUCGACACAACUAAUUGUAUUUGAGAACCACAAAACCUUAAAGUUACACACAUUUUCUUUAUUGUACAAACCGUAAGAUUAUCCCAAACCAUGUUGUGGAUGAAUUGUCAAAGGAGUUCUUUGUAGACUUCACGCUCGAAAGUAACUAAAACACUGAAAAUAGGCAUACUAUAUCACAGUGUGUGUUUGUUUUAAGGUUAUUAAAAAAAAAAUACAUUUGACAUACACAAGCCUGAGUUGUGUUCCUUUUAACCAGUCUGCUAAGAAAGAGUUGUAAUUGUAAACCUUUUUUCAUGGUGAGAAUUCAAUAUAAUUUCGGUAUUGGUUAGAUUAUUUCAGGAGUAAUUGCAUGGGUAUCCUCUUUACUAAUUGUAUGAGUAUGCAGCACACAUCUGUCACAAUACUCCAGAUGUAAUCCAAAUGUAAGGCCUUAAAGUGAUAGUUCACCCAAAAAUGAAAAUUCUGUCUGAAUCCAUUACAUUUUCCUCAAAGUAUGUCAAAGACUACUGAAUAAAGUCUCUGUUGUCUGUAUUAAGUAAGCAGCACAGAUAUGUAUGGAAUGUUUGUUCCACUACUAAUACCUCCACUAGUGCAGUUCAUUCUGACUGACAUGUGGCCGUAAUGGCAGUUGCGCCAUGAGGCCACAGUCACAGGACAGAGGGUGUGCUGGGGAGAGGUUUCUAAAGGAUAAUGGACAAGAGCAAGCAAUGAUUUACACCAAACAAAGAGGUUCAGAGAUUCAUGAAAUGUAUAGAUAUAAAUAAUAGAAAUGUUUCACAGGAAGCAGCAGUCAAAUGCAAUCCUUCGCAGUCAAUCUCCACAGUUAAUUGUCUAUUUAUUAAAUUCUUCAUAAGAACAAGCAUCUCAUUGAAAUGUAUGUUUUGUAUUAAAAGCAAAUAAGCAAAACAUUUAAACGUUUAAAUAUAAUUAAUCUAUAGUAUCAACAUGUAACAGUAUCUCCAUACUGUCUAUUUAUCGUAAAGAAAAUAAUAUUUAUAUAAUAAUAUAUGUUUUACAUAAAGUGCUUUCUAAAGCUUAAACCUCACGAUUGUUACAUAAAAACGUGUUUGAACACAUAAUUGCUGUAUAAAACAAAAAGAUUUGACAUUACGUACUGAAAGUUUGACACAUAUUUAUGUUUGAGUGCACUGCGCUAAUAAUACAGUAGAAUAAAAAGUCAUCAAAUAAAAGGAAUAAAAGUUGCACAAAAGUCCAUCAUUUGUACAAUCAUUGUCAGAUCAGAAACAAUACUCAAAACAACCUAAAGA